GUGCCAGCAGCCGCGGUAAUACGGAGGGUGCAAGCGUUAUCCGGAUUCACUGGGUUUAAAGGGUGCGUAGGAGGGCAGGUAAGUCAGUGGUGAAAUCCUGGGGCUUAACCCCAGAACUGCCAUUGAUACUAUCUGUCUUGAAUACAGUGGAGGUGAGCGGAAUAUGUCAUGUAGCGGUGAAAUGCUUAGAUAUGACAUAGAACACCAAUUGCGAAGGCAGCUCGCUACACUACUAUUGACUCUGAGGCACGAAAGCGUGGGGAUCAAACAGGAUUAGAUACCCUGGUAGUCC
rnacentral:rRNA from 1 species